GACAGAAGUGACAUUAUGCUAGUUUCCCAGUCCAAGCAUUAAGAGGCUGGUAACUAAUACUUCUUGUCUCCUGGAACACUCACUCUUGGAAGCCAGCUGCCAGGCUGUGAGAAACCAAGCCCCAUGGAGAGUUCAUGCGUAUGUGUUCCAGUUGACAGCCUUAGCUAUGCUCCCAGCCAAUUACAAGCAUCCACUGCAACCAUGUAUUCCAAAGUUGAUUACGUCUGAUAUGGUUAAAGAAGGUGCUGCUGUAAUUGAUGUGGGUAUCAACUAUGUCCACGAUCCAGUGACAGGAAAGACAAAAUUAGUUGGAGAUGUGGACUUUGAAGCUGUUAAAAAGAAAGCUGGCUUUAUCACUCCAGUUCCGGGAGGUGUGGGACCCAUGACAGUGGCAAUGCUUCUGAAGAACACCCUUCUGGCAGCUAAAAAAAUCAUUUACUAGAUCACAUGAAAGGAUAAAGCAAACUGAAGUCAUGCUAUUUGUUUAUUUGACAAAGGGUAAAACCUUUAUAUUUUACUACAAAGCUAUUUAUCUCUACAUGGUAUUUAUUUUUUCAUGGAUGAAAUCAUUGUGAAUCAAAUGAUUCACAUAAUUUUAUGCAUUUCCUGCUAAUUUAUUUUGAGUUUUAAGAGAACAACCAAAACAAUUCCAAUGAAAAUUUUAGUAACAAUUGUUUAUUUUGAGGGUAUUUGUUCAUAACAUUAAAACAAUAAAGGGCUCAUAAUAAAUAAAUAUAUUUUUGACACAAUUUAAUAUUACAUAGAGUAUGUUUACAACAAAUAUCCUGUCAGCCAAAUGGUUAUCCAUAUAAAAUGUAAUUUAGGUUUUGCUAUUUGCAUGCUCACAUUUUUAAUAUAUUUUAUGAUCUAUGUCAUAUGCUAAAAAAGAGCUUGCUUACUACAAGAAAAAUAUUGAAAUAUUGAAAAUAUUAUUAUUGAAAAUAAAAUCUUGAUCUCAACUAUCCCCCAAAUGCAUCCUAUAAGUCCAUCCUAAUGAGAAAUUAUGUUCUAUUUAAGGAAAGGAAAAUAUUCCGGGAAGGCAAAAAAUGCAAUGCUAUUUGGAAGUGUAAUGAUUUUAUCACAUUGUGAAUGACUACUUGCCACAGUAAAAAUACAUGAAGAAUGUGUUAGGCUUAAAUGGCAUUUCUUUCUUCUAAAAAAUAUUUGGAUAGUACCUUCAAUGAGCAAUAGUGGAAAAAUCAAAAAAUAAGUAAACAGAAAAA
rnacentral:sRNA from 1 species